rnacentral:rRNA from 1 species
CAGCAGCCGCGGUAACACGUAGGGUGCGAGCGUUAAUCGGAAUUACUGGGCGUAAAGCGUGCGCAGGCGGUUGUGUAAGACAGGUGUGAAAUCCCCGGGCUUAACCUGGGAACUGCGCUUGUGACUGCACAGCUAGAGUAUGGCAGAGGGGGGUGGAAUUCCACGUGUAGCAGUGAAAUGCGUAGAGAUGUGGAGGAACAUCAGUGGCGAAGGCGGCCAUCUGGGACAACACUGACGCUGAGGCACGAAAGCGUGGGGAGCAAACAGGAUUAGAUACCCCGGUAGUCCCUGUCUCUUAUAC